GGAUGAACGCUGGCGGCGUGCCUACUACCUGCAAGUCGAGCGAACGGACGAGAAGCUUGCUUCUCUGAUGUUAGCGGCGGACGGGUGAGUAACACGUGGAUAACCUACCUAUAAGACUGGGAUAACUUCGGGAAACCGGAGCUAAUACCGGAUAAUAUUUUGAACCGCAUGGUUCAAAAGUGAAAGACGGUCUUGCUGUCACUUAUAGAUGGAUCCGCGCUGCAUUAGCUAGUUGGUAAGGUAACGGCUUACCAAGGCAACGAUGCAUAGCCGACCUGAGAGGGUGAUUGGCCACACUGGAACUGAGACACGGUCCAGACUCCUACGGGAGGCAGCAGUAGGGAAUCUUCCGCAAUGGGCGAAAGCCUGACGGAGCAACGCCGCGUGAGUGAUGAAGGUCUUCGGAUCGUAAAACUCUGUUAUUAGGGAAGAACAUAUGUGUAAGUAACUGUGCACAUCUUGACGGUACCUAAUCAGAAAGCCACGGCUAACUACGUG
rnacentral:rRNA from 1 species